rfam:Gossypium raimondii Chr01_contig_110, whole genome shotgun sequence.
CUAUUCAAAUUUCAUCCAUUCCUAUUGUUAAAAAUUGACAUGGCUAAUAAAAUAAUCAAACAAUGACAUGGAGCAUGCCACAUGUACCUUAUGCUACAUAUAGAGGUUAGUUUUUAACAGAAGAAAUGGAUGCAAUUUUAAUCA